AUUCUUUUAGUUUAAAUUUGUAAAAUGUGACUUUGAAGAAGUUGAGAUAUAAGGAAUG
rnacentral:tRNA from 2 species